UACAGAGGGUGCGAGCGUUAAUCGGAAUUACUGGGCGUAAAGCGCGCGUAGGCGGUUAUACAAGUUGGGUGUGAAAUCCCUGGGCUUAACCUAGGAAUUGCAUUCAAAACUAUAUGACUUGAGUGAGGUAGAGGUAAGUGGAAUUUCCGGAGUAGCGGUGAAAUGCGUAGAUACCGGAAGGAACACCAGUGGCGAAGGCGACUUACUGGGCCUUAACUGACGCUGAGGUGCGAAAGCGUGGGGAGCAAACAGG
rnacentral:rRNA from 1 species